ACGGGUGAGUAACGCGUGGGAACCUGCCUAGUGGUAAGGAAUAACCGCGGGAAACUGCGGCUAAUACCUUAUGAGCCCUACGGGGGAAAGAUUUAUCGCCAUUAGAGGGGCCCGCGUCCGAUUAGCUAGUUGGUGAGGUAACGGCUCACCAAGGCUCCGAUCGGUAGCUGGUCUGAGAGGAUGAUCAGCCACACUGGGACUGAGACACGGCCCAGACUCCUACGGGAGGCAGCAGUGGGGAGUAUUGGACAAUGGGGGCAACCCUGAUCCAGCAAUGCCGCGUGAGUGAUGAAGGCCUUAGGGUUGUAAAGCUCUUUCGACGGGGAAGAUGAUGACGGUACCCGUAGAAGAAGCCCCGGCUAACUUCGUGCCAGCAGCCGCGGUAAUACGAAGGGGGCUAGCGUUGUUCGGAUUUACUGGGCGUAAAGGGCGCGUAGGCGGUGCAAUAAGUCAGGCGUGAAAGCCCCGGGCUCAACCCGGGAAUUGCGCUUGAUACUGUUGCGCUUGAAUCCAGGAGAGGAUGGCGGAAUUCCCAGUGUAGAGGUGAAAUUCGUAGA
rnacentral:rRNA from 1 species